rnacentral:rRNA from 1 species
UACGUAGGGCGCAAACGUUAUCCGGAAUUAUUGGGCGUAAAGAGCUCGUAGGCGGUCUGUCGCGUCUGCUGUGAAAACUCAGGGCUUAACCCUGAGCUUGCAGUGGGUACGGGCAGACUAGAGUGCGGUAGGGGAGACUGGAAUUCCUGGUGUAGCGGUGAAAUGCGCAGAUAUCAGGAGGAACACCGAUGGCGAAGGCAGGUCUCUGGGCAUUAACUGACGCUGAGGAGCGAAAGCAUGGGGAGCGAACAGG